GACGUACAUGAGAUGUGGCCCUCAGCUACACACAAAAAGAAAUCCUCUAUCCCGGUGGAGGCUCAGCGAUGCUGAUUGCUAACCCAUGGGGGCAGAGGGAGAUGGAGGGGGGAAAUCUUCCAAAGCAGGGCUGCCAGGUGAGAAAACCACGGGGACAUCUGUGUCCUUGGGCAGCACGGGCACAAGCAGGAGGACCUGGCCUCAGGACUCGAACAGCAAGCAGAACAGCCACUGGAUAACGUGUGGAAAAUGGUGAUGGGGCCUCACUAAACUUAACAUCCUCCCCUCAAAAUCAUCAUCAUCGGGAUUGUUGAGUUUGGUCCUGAUCACAACGUGAUGCAUCGAGUUGGACACCUUGGGGGCAACGAGGCAGGGGUUAAAUGCUGAUUGGGAAAGCUCUACACUCACUAGAGGGAGAAUUCUGGUUACAGCAAGUUGGUGUCAGUUAAAAGGGGAGCUGCUUUGAACUGCGGGCUCUUCUGGAGUUGUUUUUCUUCUUGCAGGAAAUCCUGGGUGUCUGAAAAAUGAAAUCCUUUCACUUGAGGAGGUCACGGGGUGCUGGCCAGCAGCCAGGCACAGGGCUCCUGCGCGGCUCUGCCCGUUCCUCUCCACGAGCCCAUCGCUUCCUCCACGACGCUCCUCUUGCACGUAUUUCUGCACGCUGCGAGGAGAGGCUUAGAUUUGCUCUUCUGCUUGUGAUUUAGCUCACCCUGUGCUUGGAGGAGGCCGGUAACGUCUUAAGACCUAUCGCAGUCCCCGAACAUAAAACCCCGCGUUGCUGGGGAGAGGUUGACUCGACUGAGCCGCAUGAUCGGAGUCAGGUGACGAUAUUGGGCACAAAACCGGAGGAGAACAAACAGUUGGGCGCAGGAGAUUAGCUGCUGGUCCUGCCUUUUGACAAGCUGUGUCACUCCUCGGGGGAAAAUGAGUGCCUGGCCCUCUCCUCUGCUUUGGAGCUUCACCAUGGUGUGUUUAACAGGUAUUGCUUUAGGCCAGACAACCACUACCUGGCCCCCUGUUGCAUCAACACCAGUGCCUCCUAGUGCAGCCACCACCCAGGUCCCUGUUGCAUCAACCCCAGCACCUCCCAGUACAAUCACCACCCAGGUCCCCAUUGCAUCAACCCCAGUGCCUCCCAGUGCAGCCAGUACCGCGGCCUCUGCACCUCAAACUGCCUCUACAAUGCUCUUGGCUGGAGUGACAUCAACCACUGCAAACCUUGUUGUGUCCACGGCAGUGCCUUCUGCUGAUCCAAGCACAAAAGAGCCAACUCAAACUCUGACCACCACCACGGAUGUGACCGUCCUCACCUCUGGCAGCAUGGCCACCUCUCAAGUGUCUACAGGACUAAUGACCAUGUCUACCAGCACCCCAGCAUCCCCUCCAGGUGUGACCACAACUCCUGGGGUCCCAUCAGCAGUUCUGUUCCUCACCACCAUAAGGCCCUCAAACUGCAGCAGAGUGAACGUGACAUCCUGUGCCCGCUGCUCCCCAGGGACAUUUCCCAAUGAAGGCACCUUGAGCUGCUCAUGCUGUGCUGGGGGCUCGUGCACAGACCCUGUUGCCUGCACCUCCUGCCCGCUGGGCCACUACCAGCCUGAAGGCGGGCAACUGUCAUGCCUGCCUUGUCCACAGGGGCAUUACGCCAACUUCACAAGGAGCACCGCAUGCCUUCCCUGCCCACCCGGUAAUUACGCUAAUGAGUCUGGGGCUGCAGCCUGCAGAGCAUGUGAGAAAGGGUAUUUUAGCUCCAAGCAAAAUGCAUCUUUUUGUCUGCCUUGCCCGUCUGGAUCAUUUUGCAACACCACCAGCUGCAGGGGGUGUCUGCUGUGCCCCAGUGGGCAAGAGGCUCUUCGGGAGGCGUCGGAGGAGUGCACGCCCUGCCGGCCAGGUACCUUCUGCAGCGGAGGGUGA
rnacentral:lncRNA from 1 species